CUUAUGAUCUUAAUCCAUAUUUCAUUCUACAAAGAUAUUUAAAAGAUGUCUGAAAUGAAGUCUAUAAGUUUAAUCGUGGGAUAUGACCACUAAUCAAAGGACGUAAAAGUUAUUGUAUGUUCACGUAAUCGACAAUGCAAUUCAAUGCGAAUCUUCAAAAUUAAGUGUAAUUCGGUGGAAUUGUUUUUUUGUAAUCUUUAAACAGUUGGUUUAACUAACUAUUCAUUAAGAAUUCCAACUCUAAGUUAUGAUUUUAUACUUAUU